rnacentral:piRNA from 1 species
CCCAUCCUCUGUGACUGCAAAUGCUAAUGCC